CAGCCUACGGGACGCAGCAGUAGGGAAUCUUCCACAAUGGACGAAAGUCUGAUGGAGCAACGCCGCGUGAGUGAAGAAGGGUUUCGGCUCGUAAAACUCUGUUGGUAGUGAAGAAAGAUAGAGGGAGUAACUGGCCUUUAUUUGACGGGAAUUACUUAGAAAGUCACGGCUAACUACGUGCCAGCAGCCGCGGGAAUACGUAGGUGGUAAGCGUUGUCCGGAUUUAUUGGGCGUAAAGCGGGUGCAGGCGGGUUAAAAAAACU
rnacentral:rRNA from 1 species